GGGCACCACCAGGAGUGGAGCCUGCGGCUUAAUUUGACUCAACACGGGAAAACUCACCCGGCCCGGACACUAGGAGGAUUGACAGACUGACUAGCUCUUUCUUGAUUCAGUGGGUGGUGGUGCAUGGCCGUUCUUAGUUGGUGGAGCGAUUUGUCUGGUUAAUUCCGAUAACGAACGAGACUCUAGCCUACUAGUUAGCCGGCCCGGUCGUUAUGCGCCCGGGCAGCGAGCUUCUUAGAGGGACAGACGGCGAGUAAGCCGUACGAGAUAGAGCAAUAACAGGUCUGUGAUGCCCUUAGAUGUCCGGGGCCGCACGCGCGCUACACUGGAGUGGAUCAGCACGCUAGCAAGCCCCGCUCCGGAGAGGAGCGGGUACGUUUGACCCCUCAAGGAUUAGGGAUUGAGCUUGUAACUAUUGCUCAUGACGAGGAAUUCCAGUAGCGGAGUCAUAUCUUACGCCGAUACGUCCUUCCUUGGACAACGCGUGUAAUACCGAUGAUGCAGUUAGGUUCAACGCUG
rnacentral:rRNA from 1 species